AAGGGAGACCUAUCCGGGAGAGACGAAAAAAAAGAUGUUCCAAGCAAGAAUCCAUCCCAAAAGGUCGGAA
rnacentral:tRNA from 1 species